UUUUCAGAACUUAAACAUAAACAUAAACAGGGCUUUCUAGUGUUUUUAUUUGGGAGUCUAAAGAAUAGAAAUCAGAAAAUCUACUGUCCUGUCUCAUUUCUGAAUAUAUUAUGUUUCUGCUUGUGGUGUUGUUGAUAUUUUGCUAUCAUUCCUGGGUUUCUAGUAUAUCUGUUUGGUUUUUCUGAAAAUUGCAAAUUGGUUUUCUGAGUGCGUUGGACCUAUGUUAUUGUUGCUGAACUUAUGUGUUGUUGUGCUGGCUACUACUGCUCAUAUUGACCCUCUUCUUCUCUUUGCUUUUCCAAAUACCAGGUACAGACAUUGAUACACUGGCUCCCUGUAAGCUGAAAGUUGAAGUAUGAAUAUAGAAAUGAAGAAGUUGAAGUUGGUUCUUCUAAAUUUGUUUUAGUUUGGUAUAAUGGAUAUUAGGUUGCACAUAUAUAAUAGCUCAUGCCUCUUAUUAGAAUCAUG
rnacentral:lncRNA from 1 species